rnacentral:lncRNA from 1 species
CAGCUAUUUGAAUAUUAUUUUUUUUCAUUCGUCAAUUCGCAAUUCGCAAUCGUCAAAUUAUUUACUUUCUCAUUCAAUUCAAUUUCUACAAUUACUCUAAGUCAGCGCAUGAUUAGCUACUUUUAGGCGCUUCAUCACUUGACGGCAUAUAAAACACUAACUAUCUUUGGGCAAAACACGUGCGCACGUACCGGUAAAGAGAAAUAAAAAAUACACACCAAAAACAUUCCGCAAAAAAAAAAAACAAUUAACUCAUUUCACCGAGUGCUAUUUGAAGUCUAUUUUUAGGCACAUUUGCUUAACGGCACAAAAAGGCAAGCCAGAAAGUGAGUGACCGAAUAAAAUAAAUACGAAAAAAGUUUCAAAAAUAAAUGCUUGCAUAGACGGCUAAUAAAUAAAAUAAAAAGUGCAAAUUUAAAUAAAACAAAUAAAGUUGAAAUAGAAAAAAAAGUUCAAACAAAUGUGCGAAAAUUAAACGCCAACGCUGCGUAAGGCUUAACAAGUACGCCGAUUUUCGGUCGUAAGCAAAUACAACCAUUUCUGCUUGAUUAAUUGCGUGGGCAAAGGUAGCCAACCCACAAUUGUUUUUGUUUAAAUAUUUUGGGAAAUCGCAUUUUUUUCGUCUUUUUUGCCAUAUAUUUUUUUUUUGCCCAUACUUAUUCUAUCAAUCCUUUUUUGGUAGCGCCUAAUUUUUUAUCUUUUUUUUCUGCUGCUCUUUUAAUAUUGUUGUUGGUGUUGUUCAAGUUAGCUACUCAAAUCAAUUUGGCGGUCUCGAUUUUCGCCCGUUCAACCACCAACUCACCAACCCAGCCGCCAAUCAAUCGAUCAAACCAACAACCAAACAAUUCAUUUCAAUCCGUUGUUACGCUGCCUUUAACGGAACUGACGUAUUUGUGAGUGAGUGCAUUGAUUGCCUGCAUUUGGGCGCGCUACUGAAAAAUUGAUUGCAAUUUAGUUAAUUGAAAUUUACAUUGUGGCAUUAAAAUUAAAUGUGCAUAGUAUUUUUUGAAGCAUAGAGAGAGAAUGUAAUUUACUCCCUGAAUACAGCGUUGAUGACUGCAAAGAUUUGCAGUCUCUACGUGCGUUAUGGCAGACUGAGGCAAGGAGUGAGUGACAUGUAGGUAUUGCUAGUGGGAAGGAAUGUGAAAGGGAACAAUUCACGGAAGCAAAUGUGUAAAUGGCAAAAUGAGAAAACGAGAAAAGCAGUCCCCAUCGCACAGCAUUAAGCAAUGAACAAGUAACGGAAGUGGCUGUGCCAGCGUGCAAGUGGAGCAAAAACUACACUGAAGGAAGAACAACGGAAAAAGUAGUGAGGAAGAGAAAUGAAGGGUGGAGAAUGCAGCGAGGAAGUGCAGCAGGAACGAAAGUCAGUCAGCGGCAAGAAUAACAACAGAUAGCGAGAGCGUGCCAAAGUAAGCCAUAGCAACAACAGCAACAGUGGAAUAAUAACAACACUACCACUAAGCGUAUAUGCAACACAACAACAACAACAACACGUAUGCCACAGACAGAAUAACAAAAACAACAACAACAGCCCAGCAAGUGAGUCAACAACAGAUUACGUGCUCUGUUGACAACAGGAAGCUCGACGUUGACAGACGUUGGUAGUGCGUCGACGACGACGGCCAACAACAAUGACGCCGGUGCCAGCGAUGACAGCUGGCGGCGGAUGGACGAGCAUUUGUGCGCGCAUUAAAGUGUAAUUAAACAAAAGUUGCUGAUGCCGG